CUUUCCCGGGCCUUGGCGGAGCUUCGGGACCGCGCAGGGCAGCGCCAGGAACACGAUGAACAGGAUGAGCUUCCGCGAGCGGCGGCUCUCCUGCAGCCAGCGGACCAGCGCCAGCUCGCUCAGGGCCAUGGCUCCGGGGCUCCGCUGCGGGCGCAGCGCGCGGUCCCUUUUAUAAGCAAAGGAGAAACAAACAUAUGCCCCUGACAUCGCUGGAGCUCUGCAGGCCCUCCGAGGGGACCAUGGGAGCAAGAGCUGUUUUCUUGGAAAGCCACCUAGAAUAAAUGUUACCCUGUCACAGUCUCUUAGCAGAAGAGUGGCCUUGUUUUAUUAAUGUUAGCUUGUUGACAGCAGGAGGCCACUGAGAACAGCAGUGUGGUGUGUGGCUGCCCCCGCUCUCUCCACCUUCCUACUCCCUUGCGGAGACCCCCUGUGCUUCCCAUUGCUACCCCAUGUGUGGGAAGAGAUGGUUGAAUAGGUAAGUAGGUCAGGAACAUGGGUCUCCAGGAUGUCGCAGGAUGUGCGCAACUUAAACAUUAAACAGGGAGGACAGAAGGAAAACCACUUAGGAGGAGGAAGCAGAUGGCAGAGAGCCGUUUAAGAAGGCAGGAGGGUAUCACUCACAGAGUGCCCCAGAGUGCUUGCUCUGGAGUUUCAGAACCCAAGGAUGCAGACUCUACCCCAGGGACCACGGGGAUAGAGAGGCAUCAUGGUAAAGGGUGCCUGCCAGGAUGCCCAGGUCCC
rnacentral:antisense_RNA from 1 species